UUUACUUUUUUGUCAUCUUUGUGUGUGUGUGUAUGUGUGUGUGCAUGCAUGCACAUGCUGGUCAUUACAACUGGCUAUUACUGAUUUAGCCAGAAAGAAAUUAAUAUACCAAAAUAUGUCAUUGCAGAUGAGGUAAGGUCAAGAGUUUUUAAAAUAUUAAGCAUGAUAACACAAUAAAACUUGCUAUUUUAUGAAACAGACCAAAAGUUAAUCUUAUUUAUAGCUCCCCACAACAGUUCAGUUUAAAAUAAAGAUGUGUUUAAGAACUGAAGCAUCUAUUGAAUUGUUGCUCAUUUUAGACAAUUCUUAAGAAACAUUAUUUCCUCUCAUCAUUCAGAUGCAGACAUUCAUGGCCUGCAAUACUUUCACAAGAUCUAUACAAGACCAUACACUUAAAUAUAUAUCAAACUGAUCAUAAUGAGUUUUUACUAGUUAUCUUUAGGAAUUAACAAUAUACAAAUAUAUGUAACUAAAAAUUAAAACAAAAUUGGUUCUCAAUAUGUGUUGAUUGACAGAGUGUCUGCACAUAGUGGCAUUACAAUACUAAUUAUGAUGAGCCCUUUACCUUCUCAUUCCAUAAAAGUGCACAGGACAUGUUGAUGCAGAUAUAAUAGAGUCCUCAGAGCAUUAACAUUCUGUUUUGCAAAAGACAUUUCCCAGAAUCUUGGCAGUAGAUGAUUCUGAAACACUUUUGAAUUACCCUCAAUUGUCCUAUAUAAUUAGGAAUCCAGAAUAAAAAGUACAAAUCUGGCAAUUGUUAUGAUUGAAAUGAUCACUGAUGCUUAAGGGAAAUGGAAGCAAGAAGCUUAAUUUCUUCCUUUAGGUUAUAUUUCAGUAACAUACUUGAUAGCAGCACAUAAUGAGCAACUUGUUUUGGGAGAAGGUAUGAUAAAAUAUAAUAGUGAUGUCAAAAUAGCAUAAAGAAAUCCAAAAACCAGAAGAAAAUCCAACUGAAGUCCAAAUCAUGAAGUUUUCUACUUAGAGGUCAGUCAAAUAAAGGAAGUAUAAUUUAAAGGAAGUUGGUCCUAAUGAUUUAAGUAAGAAGAAAGGUUAUCUGAAGACACAGUUCUUUGAAGUCAGGAAUCUUAUUUUAGAAUUAUAUUUUUGUUCAGUUCCAGUUUUAAAAAGAAACCUAAAGAUUCAAUAUAGAGAUUUAAAUUCUGUAAAAAUACUAAAUUUGAAAUUCAUCAGAGAGAACUUUAAAAAAUAUAAAUCUCAGAUUAUAAUUUAGAAGAUAUCUAAAUAUGGUUGUAUGUAGCAUUUUUGUAUCUGAAAUUAUAGACUAUAUUUUAUAAAAAUAGAUUUUGGUCUUGUUUCUCACUAUGUCGUUUGUUUCAACAGUAUGUUUUUAGAUCGAAAAUGUUUUCGAUUUAACGUGACAGUGUGCAUAAUAUCAUUUGAAUAUAAAAGGACAGCUG
rnacentral:lncRNA from 1 species